rnacentral:tRNA from 1 species
CGGGGAGUGGCGCAGUCUGGUAGCGCAUCUGCUUUGGGAGCAGAGGGUCGCUGGUUCGAAUCCAGUCUCCCCGA